AACGAACGCUGGCGGCAUGCCUAACACAUGCAAGUCGAACGAACCCUUCGGGGUUAGUGGCGCACGGGUGCGUAACGCGUGGGGAUCUGCCCUUUGCUUCGGAAUAACAGUUAGAAAUGACUGCUAAUACCGGAUGAUGUCGAAAGACCAAAGAUUUAUCGGCAAAGGAUGAACCCGCGUAGGAUUAGCUAGUUGGUAGGGUAAAGGCCUACCAAGGCGACGAUCCUUAGCUGGUCUGAGAGGAUGAUCAGCCACACUGGGACUGAGACACGGCCCAGACUCCUACGGGAGGCAGCAGUGGGGAAUAUUGGACAAUGGGCGAAAGCCUGAUCCAGCAAUGCCGCGUGAGUGAUGAAGGCCUCGGUUGUAAGUACGU
rnacentral:rRNA from 1 species